UACAGAGGUCCCAAGCGUUGUUCGGAUUCACUGGGCGUAAAGGGUGCGUAGGCGGUCGGGUAAGUCUGAUGUGAAAUCUCACAGCUUAACUGUGAAACUGCAUUGGAUACUAUCCGGCUCGAGGAAUGGAGGGGAGACUGGAAUACUUGGUGUAGCAGUGAAAUGCGUAGAUAUCAAGUGGAACACCAGUGGCGAAGGCGGGUCUCUGGGCCGAUACUGACGCUGAGGAGCGAAAGCGUGGGGAGCGAACAGG
rnacentral:rRNA from 1 species